rnacentral:rRNA from 1 species
GUGGGGAAUAUUGGACAAUGGGGGCAACCCUGAUCCAGCCAUGCCGCGUGAGUGAAGAAGGCCUUCGGGUUGUAAAGCUCUUUCGACGGGGACGAUGAUGACGGUACCCGUAUAAGAAGCCCCGGCAAACUUCGUGCCAGCAGCCGCGGUAAUACGAAGGGGGCUAGCGUUGUUCGGAAUUACUGGGCGUAAAGCGCGCGUAGGCGGUGAUCUUUGUCAGAGGUGAAAGCCUGGGGCUCAACCCCAGAAUUGCCUUUGAAACGGGAUCGCUAGAGUCCGAGAGAGGAUGGCGGAAUUCCUAGUGUAGAGGUGAAAUUCGUAGAUAUUAGGAAGAACACCGGUGGCGAAGGCGGCCAUCUGGCUCGGUACUGACGCUCAGGCGCGAAAGCGUGGGGAGCAAACAGGAUUAGAAACCCGUGUAGUCC